AGUAACUGCGAGUGAAGCGGGAAAAGCUCAAAUUUAAAAUCUGGUGGUCUUUGACCAUCCGAGUUGUAAUUUAGAGAAGCGUCUUCCGCGCUGGACCAUGCACAAGUCUCCUGGAAUGGAGCGUCAUAGAGGGUGAGAAUCCCGUCUUUGGCAUGGACCCCCAGGGCUUCUGUGAUGCGCUCUCAAAGAGUCGAGUUGUUUGGGAAUGCAGCUCAAAAUGGGUGGUGAACUCCAUCUAAAGCUAAAUAUUGGCGAGAGACCGAUAGCGAACAAGUACCGUGAGGGAAAGAUGAAAAGCACUUUGGAAAGAGAGUGAAACAGUACGUGAAAUUGUUGAAAGGGAAACGCUUGAAGUCAGUCGCGUCGACCGAGACUCAGCCUUGCCUCGGCUUGGUGUACUUCUCGGCUGACGGGUCAGCAUCAAUUUUGAUCCUUGGAUAAUGGCAAGGGAAAGGUAGCACCUUUAUUGGUGUGUUAUAGUCCUCUGUCGGAUACAAGGGUUGGGAUUGAGGAACUCAGCACGCACCCUCUCGGUGUCGGGGCCUCGGCCUACGUUACGUGCUUAGGAUGUUGGCAUAAUGGCUUUAAACGACCCGUCUUGAAACACGGACCAAGGAGUCUAACAUGCCCGCGAGUGUUCGGGUGGAAAACCCGUACGCGUAAUGAAAGUAAAAGUUGGGACCUCUGUCGUGGAGGGCACCGACGCCCGGACCAGACCUUCUGUGACGGCUCUGCGGUAGAGCGUGUAUGUUGGGACCCGAAAGAUGGUGAACUAUGCCUGAAUAGGGUGAAGCCAGAGGAAACUCUGGUGGAGGCUCGUAGCGAUUCUGACGUGCAAAUCGAUCGUCAAAUUUGGGUAUAGGGGCGAAAGACUAAUCGAACCAU
rnacentral:rRNA from 1 species